UAACUGAACAUAAGUGGUGAACAGAUUUCUAAUUUAGAGCAGGAGCAGUUGUUGUCUAAAUUAUGGUUAUGCUUUGAAAAGUGACUGUAAAGUAUCACCUUAGUAAAUGUUGGAUUUUUUUCUUGGUUUAUUGUGUUUAGUACCAAAAUAAGUUGUUGUUUUUUAAUGCCUACCAGGACCACAGGGCCUGCACCUCUAUUGUGCAUUGUCAACAGAACGGUUUACUGUGUUCCAAUCAGUUAUGCCUUUGCCCGCCAACUGAAGGCUGUGAGUUUGCCCAAAUGUUACUGAUGAAAUCACUUGAUCUGCAGAACCUUUAUUAUAAGUGAUGAUGUAUGAGAAAAGAAGAACCCAAAUUCACUUUCAGAAACUAGACUGAGUUUGUUGGAAUGGCCAUUUACAUUUUUUCCCCAAAAUGAGCAUAUUUUAUAUAAAAUCAGAGAUUCAAUAUAGGUGGAAUCUCUGUGUCAUUUUUGCAGGUUUCAGAGUAGCAGCCGUGUUAGUCUGUAUCCGCAAAAGGAGCUGACCCCGAGGUAUCACUACCAUUAAGGGAGCAGACUACCCCAUCAAGUGGUUCCACUCUGAAAAUGCCUAAAAAUGACACAAAAAGAACAGGAGUACUUGUGGCACCUUAAAGACUAACAAAUUUAUUUGAGCAUAAGCUUUCGUGGGUUACAGCAUCCGAAGAAGUUUAUGAAGCUUGGUCCAACAACGGAGUAGAUUGUGGUUCCGAGUUCCAAUUUACGACUUACCAACUGUAAAGAACCAAUUGUGUUCUAAGUCCGAGGACUGCCUGUAAUUGAAAACCUGAGUGGGUGCCAGGAGCAAUGCAUCUGCAGGGCCACAAGGGGGCAUGCUUGAGGGCGGCACCUCAUUACAAACCACUUAAAAGUUUUUUGCAUAUUUUCAUCAUGACAAUAUAAAAAAAAUUAAUCUUACAGGCACGGUUUUAUGCAUUCCAUGUCUUGUGCGCUGUACCAUCACUGUUCUUUUAAAAUAAGAAAGCACCCUACACAAUGGCCAAAACUUCAUAAGUAUUCCAGCUGCACACUUAUCCAAAGUCAUUCCAGGGUCAGGGACAGCCUUUGGACCUCUAUUUGAUACGCAGUUAACUAAAUUGUUGUCUCUAUUGCAUUUAUGUUUGAUAAUUUAUUCAAACAGCAGUGAAAUAACAAGUGCGUUAGUCACACUAGAGCCUCUGGUAUCUGUUUUCUUGGGCUAUUUAGGAUGUGCCCUCCCCUCUUUCUUAUAAAUUCUUAAUGUCUUCUUAUGACCUAUUACUGCUAAUGCAACUUUGAUUUGGAGAGAACAGCAGGCAGCAUCUCUGGAGAAAACAGACAAUACAGUGAAAGAUUUGGGGCUGAGGAGGAGUGUGCAAAAGUCUAGAUAGAGGAAGCAGGCAGAAAAAGUUACGAAUGCAUAGAUCUGUUUAAUCUUAGAUUUUUUACAUAAAAUGUCAUUUACUGCUGAAACAAAGUCAUGUCUGCAGUGGAACAUGGCAGCACUGUUGUAACAUUGCACGUUUGCAGUACAUGGUAGUUGAAGAUGGAAAAUAAAGAAUACCAAAUUCAAUUGAAACUUUAGGGGGAAUUUUAGGUAGCCAGAAUGUAUUUGCUCCUCUUCUCCCUCCCCCCCCAAAACACCUUGCUUUCAUUGCACAUUGUCUUCUUGCGUUGUAGGAUCUUAAGGGCAGGACCUUUUUUAUAUUUGUCUGUGAAGUACGUAGUAAUCAGUUGGCACUGUGGAAAUAAUGAAAACACAAACUGGAAUCUGGCCAUAUAUAACUGUUGCAAAAAUGCCAAGGAACUUUUGUCUGCAAAUAGUCUAGGUAUUUGUUUUAGGUCUUUCUUAAAAGAAUGCAUCUUCAGCAGCUUUAGGCUUCCAGUCCCAUGCUGAAACAUGAAUUCAUGAAUUAAUUUUGGAGGAAUGAGAGUAUACUUACUGAAUCAACAGCAUGAUUUCCUGCAGCUCCUGGAGUUUUCUUCAGUCUCAUAAGUAUUAAGAAGGCCUGAUCUUGCUUAGUUGGAGAUCUGAUGAGAAUGGUAUCUGAGCCCACCUAGCAUCAGCCUAGAGUGUAAACGGAUGCAGAAGGGAGACUAAUAAGCCCAGAUAAUUUGUAGAGUGAGGUUAAAAAAAAGACACCUAAAGCCUAUAAAAAGUUAGAGCUGUAAAGAUAUGUCCUGUUGUGGCAGGAGAGUGCAAUAGCUCAGAUUGGAUAAUGCGUUAUGUACCAAAUUUAUUCCAUGCUAGGAAAUUCAUGACUUGGAAGCAAUAAGAUGCAUUGUGCCCCAAAAACAUUUUAAGUUAAACCUUACUAAGAGAUUCUACCAGUUUUUGUAAAUAGGAAAUUGCAUGACUGCCUCUUAAGAUGUUAUAGGAGAAAUGUGUAUAUUCCUCAGAGCCAGAUGCUCCACUUUGUCAAUCAUCAUAGCUUAAUUGAAGACAAUGGAGAUAUGGAAAUUUACAUCAGCUGAGGAGAUGGUCCCUGGUUUAUAAAACCUUUCCAAAUGCCUGCCUGUCUAAAUCUGGCACCUCUUCUAAACUGUUGGUGGGGAAGAACAUUUUGAACGUUCAGCUGAUUAAGGUCUCUCCCAUUGUUGUUUUACUGAGGAAAAACUACCUUAAAUGGUUGAACUAAAAUAUAUGUUAUUGGGGGCUGAUACAUUUGUAUUGAAGAUGUAAAAUUUUCAAAGAUACAGGUGCACAUACAGUAGAACCUCAGAGUUACAAACACCUUUAGAAUGGAGGUUGUUCAUAACUCUGAACAAAAGGUUAUGGUGGUUCUUUCAAAAGUUUACAACUGAACAGUGGCUUAAUACAGCUUGGAAACUUUAGUAUGCAGAAGAAAAAAGAUUCUUUUAAACAUAUUAAUUUAAAUGAAAAAGGCACAGAAAAUUUCCUUACCUUGUCAAAUCUUUUUUUAUUUUUAGUUGUUUAAUGCAGUACCGUACUGUACUUCCAGUUCCAAAUGAGGUGUGUGGUGACUGGUCAGUUCAUAACUCUGAGGUUCUACUGUAUGUUGCAGGAUUGCCUCAUUUAGAACUGCCGAUGAACUCUUCUCAAACUUCAAGUACUGUACUAGGAAAAAAAAUAUUACUGUGGAACUUGGGAUAUUGGUCAGCAACACAAGUAAAUAGUCAAUUAAAAAAAAAUCUCCAUAAACAGAUUUUAGUAACCUUUGCUAGAAGAGGCAAUAUCUUACAUGGAAGAAUGGCUAAAAGGAUUUUCAGGGAUUUACUGAAGGAAAAAGAUUACACUUGCUGACAUGACUGGAAAAAGCACUUUGGUAGGCUUUUUUGACAUGUACAUACUGCUUUUACAUAAACAACUAGUCACAGAUCUUAUUUGUGUGAAAUUUUGUCUGACCCAUUUUGUUAACUGUCUCCUCCAUCAGCUGCUUUCACUUACUCCAUGAUGAUGGGGGCGUCUUGGUGAAAUUAUUUUCGCAAGAUUAGACUUUGUGAAUAAAUACAGAGUAACCUAAUAAAAUGGAAUUUGGUCGCUGCUUGAAGUGAUCAUUUGACUAAUUAGAGCAAACAAUUUCAGAAGUCCUCUCCGUGAAUGUCAAGGGGGAGUCACUUCAGAUUUAAAAUGGCUUCUUUGAUUUCACAUGUAGGGAAGAACUUUUCAUUUUGUGUGCCACUUUAGUGCUAAUAAAGAAUUUAAAACGUGGGUUCAUCAUUUGGCAUCAGUUAAAGCUGCUUGAUCUGUUGGGUAUUAAAAUGCAGAAUAAAACUAUCUACCCUGGUAAAGUGGAAUUAUUGCUGCUUUGCAUAUGUGUGAUGGAAAACUAGUGAUUUCACAGUUUAUUAACAAUGUAGGUUGUGUUAUAACUUGGCAUGAAGCUUCAUAGAGAUUGAGAGUCCUGCUUCCUGCCCCAAAAUGUGUCCCAUCUAAAUUAAACAGAAAUGAGGCUAGCCAAGGGAAAGGAGGGAUGUGAAGUAAGGCAAAUAAGUCAUUACAGAGUAAGAAAAUCAUAAGUUCUGAUACCUAAACACAGACUGAAGUAGGGCAAAGUGGAGGAAUUAGACUGCACAGGCGUAGAUAACCAGUGGAAAGCAAGGCAAAAGUAAAUUUUUCAGACAAGGUUUGGAGAGGAUAGUGAGGAUAAUUGCCACACAGAGGGAUGUUAUAACAGACAUAGGGUGUAGGAUAAGAGUAAAUUAAAGAAUUAAAGUUAGCUUAAGUUUGGUUAAGGAUAUACUGUGUGUUGUAAAGAGGGCCCCAAUCAGCAAGUAAAAGAAGGUCAUGAGAAUAAGUAGUAUGGGAAGGAUGUAUGGCUUCAAAAGUAACUAAUAAAAUAAAGAGCGGCAGUAACAAGACAAAGAAAAACUGUCAUAAAAGAAACAAGCCCAGACCUUCCCACUGUUCUGCUGGUAAGCAAGGAUUGGGGGAGAAAAUAAGGGAAGAAAGGGGGCUGUAAAUCUUAGGAGGAUUAAGACUGGAACUAAGGGUCAAUUGUCUCAAGUUGAUUUAUAGCUGAAGUCAGCAAGCAAUGACAUCACUUGUUGGUUAUGGGUAUAAUAAGUAAACUCUUAAAGGGGUUCAUUACUAAUACCUGUCUGACCAUCCUGGAGCCAAUCAGUAUGGGUCUAAGCACCCCUGGGCCUAGCCCAUUUGUAAGCAUCUUGAUCAAAUGCUUAUAAAUGUUUUGGUACUGGUUGGAUGUAGUAAAUUGCUUAUUAGUUAGGCUUUUUAGGCAUUUUUAGAGCAAUUGUAUAAAUACCCUUUGGCCUUUGGAUUUAAUAAAAGAAUUUGUGUUAAACUAGUGUUAGGUGGUUUCCCUUAUAAUUUAUAUGUUUAUAAUUUCACAUAUUAAUCAUUCAGACAUUUUGGCAACUGUGGCAGGAUGCCAGACAUUAAUUUCAUUUGCUCUAAACCAGUGAUUCUCAACUAGGGGUACGUGGAGGCCUUCUAGGGAAUAUAUAAACUCAUCUAGAUAUUUGCCUGGUUUUAAAAGCACUGGCAAAGUCAGUACAAACAGUACAAAAUUUCAUACAGACAGUGUUCUAUAUAUUACAUCUGUUCUAUAUAUUAUAUCAGCGGUUCUCAAACUGUGAGCAAGUUCGUUUUAAUGGGGUUGCCAGGGCCAGUGUUAGACUCACUGGGGCCCAGGGCUGAAAGCCCAUGUCCUGCUGUGCAGGGCUGAAGUCAAAGCCUGAGAUGAAACUUGGAGUAUGCAAGACAAAUCAGACUCCUGAAAGGGGUACAGUAGUCCAAAAGGUUGAGAACCACUGCUCUAAACCCCUAAAGCGAAGGGGUAGUGACCUGUCUUCUACAACCAGUAUAUGAUUCCUUCUUAAAGAGAAAUUCAGUAACAUAAGGGAAAUAGAGGAAUAUCUAUAUGGCAAGCUUUUUGUCAAAGCAUAGCAGAGGUCCGCUAAUUGCCACUGCAACUCCUAAAUACUUGCGGGGAUGAGGGAGACAGAGUGACAAAACAAGCAAGCUUUGCUCCCCAAGCAUGAGGGCUUAAAAAAACCCUCCCCAAAAACAGAUUCUCACAUUUGUAUUACCUCAGGAGCUGAGGCUUUAGGAAACAUCAGGUUUAGGGGUCUUGUGAUAAAACCACAAGAGCUGGUAAUGCUGGGCAGGAGUCAAAGUAAACCCUAAGUUUGCUGCCAGCUUCAGUAAUAGACUGUUGUGGAAUUAUCAAAGAGGAAAGGGGAUGAGGGGGAGAAGUUUCAGGAGGAAAGUUGGGAUGCUCAUUUUUGCCCUGUUUAGUUUGAAUAGCAUUAGGACAUCAAUUGGGAAGUAUGGGAGAGGCAGGAAGAGGUUUGAGCCUGAACAGAGGUCGUGGUUAGAGAGGUAGAUGUGAAAUAUGAGACAGUUGGAGUAGGUGAAGUUACCCCAGGGAGGAGAAAUACUUAGUGGUGGAAGAUUUGAGAACACAAAAGCGAGAGAGAAGAAGCAGGACCAAGGAUCCAAUGAAGGCAACAGUGAAAGAGUGGGUAAAUAAGGCAGGAAGUGAACCAGGAAAUGAGUCAGGGACCCCAGGAAGAGAUGGCCUCCAGAAGAAAAGGGUAGUGUGUAUCAGCAGCAGCCGACACAUUGAAGAGAAUUAGAAUGGAGCACAGGCUCUUAGAUUUGGAGAGGAAGGUGUCAUUAGUGACUUUUUUGAUUGAUCAGUUCUGGUGGAGUGGAGAGGAUGAAAGUUGGAGGGAAUCGAGUGAUAAGCGGAGGAAGUUAGGGCACUGGAAAUAAAGAGCCCUUUUAAGAAGCUUGUAGGUAACUUCCUUUUGAUUAUAUCCAAUUGAUCCCUACCAGGGGAUCCACUGCAUAUAAUCAAAGGGAAGUUAAAAAUGAACUCCUUUGAGAAUUCCAUUAUAUUUGUCUAAACUUACUUGCUUUCAGAUUGACCCAAUUUAAAAAUGCUCCAUUUCAGAUUGACCUGUUCUGGUUUGCAUGUUCAUGCUUUUGAAUAUGUAAUAAUUAAACAAAAAUGGUUUUGAACCAGUCUCGCUCAAAACUGGUGAAACUUCGUGGGGAAUAAAUAACUUUGAAAGAAUCAGCAAGUAGUAAAGAAAACAAUGAUACACAUCCUGUAUGCUUAUGAACUUACACUGUGCCUGUACUUAACCAUUGGUAUUAUUCAUUUUUUAAUUCACAUAUCUAAGCUUUACAGGAUCAUUUAAACGUGGGGAGACGUUACCAUUGUAAAAUUGUUUACUCCACUCAAUCAUGAAAGUAAACAAAAAUGAGUGCUCUUUUCAGUAAUUGUGCGUGCAAUUAUAAUUUGAUUUGCAGACCUGCAGUUAGAACACAUUCAAAAUAAAUGUCAUGGACUAGCUAGUUAAAAUUAUACACAGCUAUGAAAAUUUGAGGCUUCAUAGUCACUCACUGAAGCUUUUGGAUAUGGCUGGUGUAUUUAUACAUUGCUCAUGACUGGACAAAUCUUGUAUUACAAGGAAAGGCAUAUACAGGAAAACACUGAAAUCUUUGGAGAAAAGGUAGAAGUUGAAGUGGGCUCUGGAAUAUUACUUCAGUUACUAGAAUGAAGGAUAGCAAAGAAUUUAAAUAAAGCAGUGCAAAUUAUAGUGUACACGUGUACAGCCUUGUCUUGAGACCUAAAUUGGAGCUCUUCUAACAUAUACCUGCUUUUGCUGAAAUAACAGUCAGUCCUGUGUCCUCAUUGGCACAUUCUUGUCAAAAUAAUAAGAAAACCACCUUGAAAUUCUGGAUACACUGACAGAACAGUUAACAGCCCUAGCAAUUGGGGCUCAGGAAAGUAAGAAGUUACUGCUAGCAAAUAUGGUAUAGUUUUGUUACAGUUCAUACGGUUCAUUGCACUUAUAAAUUUGUAUUCUGUUUUCCCCAGACUGCCUCUAAUUCAUGGACCUCAUUUAAAAUUUUUUACAAGAUGAUCUUUAGCGAUUAAAUAAUCGUGAAUUCUGUGCAUUUUGGUCACAGCUGUUUAGUUACCCUAGAACUCCAAAAAUAGUUAUAUAAUAUCUGUAUUGACACUAUUACACAUAUCUCUAGAGACAACAUUUUUAUGAGAUUAUAGAAUUAUUUACCCCUAAAGUAAGCUGUAGGAAAGAAUUUAAUUUAGUUUCAAUUCCAAAGAAAUUGCAGUGUUUACUUAAUGACAUUAGUCAAGUUAAAUUCUUUGGGCAAGAUCCCGCAGUUAUUGGGAGGAAAUGUGUUUGCAGAGUUAGAGAAAGCAGAAUAUCACUGGUCGUAUCUUGGAGACAGUGCAAACUUCCACUUACAGAGCAGCAUGGCUCAGGUUAGACUUCAGUUGUCUGCAUUUGUGAAGUCUUAGUGCAGGAGUUUUGGUGGAUCUUACAGGAGCUCUGUAACGUGGCUGAUUCUGCUAAGGAAUUUAAUUUCUUGAUAAGCUUGUGUGCUCAUUAAAUUCCUGUUAGAUUUACUGAACUUCUUAAACUACAUUGGCUUGAGGUGGCUGGUGCAGGUUAGGUAGGAAGCCUACAAGUGUAUACUUUAGUCUGCAAGAAAGUUUAUAGAACUUAAAGGAAUUCAGACAAAUGAAAAUAAAUUUGCAGUUUCUACGCCAAGCCACUUUGGUGAUAGAAUGUUCCAAAAGAAAGUCGUGUCAAAGUGAAAACAUUUGAUUUUCUCACUCCCAUAUCUGUAAAACAUUUCUCAUUCACUCUGAAUUUAGUGUGCGCCCAUGUUCUGUGCUGUUACGAUAAUACUUGGCUUUUACAUAGUGUUUUCUACCUGAAGAUUUUAAAGUGCUUUACAAAGGGAAGUAUUUUUUUCAUUAUCCUACUGACUGGGUUACUGAGGUAUAAAGAGAUGAAAUGACUUGCCAAAGUUCACACAACAGGUCAGAGGCAGAGCCAGAAAUAGAGCCCACGUCACGCAACUUCCCAGUCAGCACUCUGUCCACUGGACCAUGAUGCUGCUUCAGUAGAUUAUAAAUAAAUUAAAAGCUGUGAAUAUUAAAUAACAAGAAUUACAAAGGCAGCUCUGUGUUCACACACAGUAGGUACAUUUUUCAGACUCUUCACACUCUCACAUUCUUAACCAUCAACUCUCCUAUCCAAAUCAAAUUACCCACUUCAUAUUGCCUGAUUCAAUGCUCUUUGUUUGUGUGGAACAUCACAGGCCUUUUAGUUUAAAAAAAAAAAAAAAAAAGGUUUAGGGCUUGUCUA